UUAAUAGGCUCUUCCUUCAUCAGUCAACAGUUUCCUCAGGGCUGCCAGGACUCUGAGGUCACAGACAAGCCUUAGUGGUGCAACCAGACUCAGCUGUACCUGUCCAUGACAUCUGGUGACCUGAAUCCCAGCUUGCAGACUGACUUCCUGACUUGAACUUGGACCUGACUCAUCCUCAUGCAUUUCCUUGGUGAUCCAGGCUCUUGUCUGGACCUGUCCACCAUCUCUUUGUCUGCACAGAGCAGACCCUUGCUGUUCCCUCACUCUGGCUGAGGGCAGUAUUUUGGCACGAAAGUGCUGUACCUCUGCGAGCUCAUGUCUACUGCCCUUAGGCAUGGUUUGCUUCAUCCACACCUAGUGUGACACAGCAUUGAAAACUAAUGAACAUAUGUCACCUGAUACAAGCCAAAAUAUGGCUCAUUGGUCUAGUGUGAACAAGCUGGGGGAAAAGGAGAAGUCUAGGGAGACAGGACCAGGAAAUCAGACAGAAAAAAUUGCCAGUGAUUCCAGGAUGUUCCCAUCUGCUGUGAUGACAACAAGGAAGAUCCACCUGCUAUCAUUUUUGUGGAAACAGGGUUCUUGCUUUGAUGGCCAUGUUUCCUGA
rnacentral:lncRNA from 1 species